rnacentral:rRNA from 1 species
ACGGGUGAGUAACACGUAGGCAACCUGCCCUCAAGUUUGGGACAACUACCGGAAACGGUGGCUAAUACCGAAUAAUUGUUUUCUUCGCCUGAAGGAAACUGGAAAGACGGAGUAAUCUGUCACUUGGGGAUGGGCCUGCGGCGCAUUAGCUAGUUGGUGGGGUAACGGCUCACCAAGGCGACGAUGCGUAGCCGACCUGAGAGGGUGAUCGGCCACACUGGGACUGAGACACGGCCCAGACUCCUACGGGAGGCAGCAGUAGGGAAUCUUCCGCAAUGGGCGAAAGCCUGACGGAGCAAUGCCGCGUGAGUGAUGAAGGUUUUCGGAUCGUAAAGCUCUGUUGCCAGGGAAGAACGCUUGGGAGAGUAACUGCUCUCAAGGUGACGGUACCUGAGAAGAAAGCCCCGGCUAACUACGUGCCAGCAGCCGCGGUAAUACGUAGGGGGCAAGCGUUGUCCGGAAUUAUUGGGCGUAAAGCGCGCGCAGGCGGUCAUUUAAGUCUGGUGUUUAAUCCCGGGGCUCAACCCCGGAUCGCACUGGAAACUGGGUGACUUGAGUGCAGAAGAGGAGAGUGGA